rnacentral:rRNA from 1 species
CCUGUGAAGAUGCAGGUUACCCGCGACAGGACGGAAAGACCCCGUGGAGCUUUACUGUAGCCUGAUAUUGAAUUUUGGUACAUUUUGUACAGGAUAGGCGGGAGCCAUUGAAACCGGAGCGCUAGCUUCGGUGGAGGCGCUGGUGGGAUACCGCCCUGAAUGUAUUGAAAUUCUAACCUACGGGUCUUAUCGACCCGGGAGACAGUGUCAGGUGGGCAGUUUGACUGGGGCGGUCGCCUCCUAAAGUGUAACGGAGGCGCCCAAAGGUUCCCUCAGAAUGGUUGGAAAUCAUUCGUAGAGUGCAAAGGCAUAAGGGAGCUUGACUGCGAGACCUACAAGUCGAGCAGGGACGAAAGUCGGGCUUAGUGAUCCGGUGGUUCCGCAUGGAAGGGCCAUCGCUCAACGGAUAAAAGCUACCCCGGGGAUAACAGGCUUAUCUCCCCCAAGAGUCCACAUCGACGGGGAGGUUUGGCACCUCGAUGUCGGCUCAUCGCAUCCUGGGGCUGUAGUCGGUCCCAAGGGUUGGGCUGUUCGCCCAUUAAAGCGGUACGCGAGCUGGGUUCAGAACGUCGUGAGACAGUUCGGUCCCUAUCCGUCGUGGGCGUAGGAAAUUUGAGAGGAGCUGUCCUUAGUACGAGAGGACCGGGAUGGACGCACCGCUGGUGUACCAGUUGUUCUGCCAAGGGCAUAGCUGGGUAGCUAUGUGCGGAAGGGAUAAGUGCUGAAAGCAUCUAAGCAUGAAGCCCCCCUCAAGAUGAGAUUUCCCAUAGCGUAAGCUAGUAAGAUCCCUGAAAGAUGAUCAGGUUGAUAGGUUCGAGGUGGAAGCAUGGUGACAUGUGGAGCUGACGAAUACUAAUAGAUCGAGGACUUAACCAUAUAA